GAUCCUAUUGGUUUCUGCGUUAAUAAGGUUGGUUGGAUCUGAAUCCCCUAGAGGGCCGAGACAUUGAAGGUGUGGUUGAUCGGUGGGAAUGACAAUUUUAUUGGACAACUCCUGGUGAUUUUGGGGGAAUAAAAUACAAAGAAAAAGGAAAAGGAGAAUAUUCAGUAAGACGAAUCGCGGAUGAACAGGAGUAUAAAAAUACGGAAGAUGAGAUGGAGAUCUG
rnacentral:lncRNA from 1 species